UAGGGAAUCUUCGGCAAUGGGGGGAACCCUGACCGAGCAACGCCGCGUGAGUGAAGAAGGUUUUCGGAUCGUAAAGCUCUGUUGGUAAGGAAGAACGAGUGUGAGAAUGGAAAGUUCAUGCUGUGACGGUACUUAACCAGAAAGGGACGGCUAACUACGUGCCAGCAGCCGCGGUAAUACGUAGGUCCCGAGCGUUGUCCGGAUUUAUUGGGCGUAAAGCGAGCGCAGGCGGUUAGAAAAGUCUGAAGUGAAAGGCAGUGGCUCAACCAUUGUCGGCUUUGGAAACUGUUUAACUUGAGUGCAGAAGGGGGGAGUGGAAUUCCAUGUGUAGCGGUGAAAUGCGUAGAUAUAUGGCGGAACACCGGUGGCGAAAGCGGCUCUCUGGUCUGUAACUGACGCUGAGGCUCGAAAGCGUGGGGAGCGAACAGG
rnacentral:rRNA from 1 species